AGUCGCUCAGUUCGGCUUAAUGUUUUGUCGACUAUGGCAGGUUAAACCAAUUCUUUGGCGAGCUACUGGGAGUCCGCUUCGACCCAGCAGACUUGGAGCUUUCCGGCCGAGCGGAGGCCAAGUCACUUUCGCUGCUGCUCGUUGCUGGAGUCUGCUUGCGCUUCACAGUCAGCCUCUGCAUGUUCCGCUCCAGCGUGGCCUCGCGAAUUGGCUCCGUUGAGCCUAAUGCAACAGAGUUCGAUGAAGAAGGCGUUUCAAGAGGAACGAGAACGCGAGGCCAAGCCGAAGCACAAGCCGGAUGCUACCAAGCAGCACAUGGCGCGACCCACGAAGCUAUCCAAAACUUGUUCCUCGAAUGGCUGUGCCAACUGUCGCAGAACUGGCAGCAAAUAGUGCGAUUUUAUGUAAAAAAAAUUGAAUAAUUUUUAAGUACGAAUACAAAGCUACAAAAAA